GGUUUUGGGGGUGCUGACCCCCCCGGCUCCCCCCAGAGAUGCCACCGGACACCGUCCGCAGCAAGAUCCUGGUGGGGGUCGGGGGCUUCGUCUUGGGCUUGGUCUUCCUGGCGCUGGGGCUCGGCUUCUACCUGCGGGAGAAGAGCUUCUGAGCCACCGGCGGCCGCAGCCCCUCCCUGUGGCCUCGGGCCCAGCCGGGACCCCCCGGUCCCUCCCCACGCUGAGUUUGGGGGGUCGUGUGUCCCCCCCAGCCCUGCUUUUAUUCUGACCCCAGUCGGCUGCUCCCAGUGUUCCCAGUAAAGCUUCCCAGUUCUCCCCAGUCGUUUUGUUCUGGGCCUGCUCAUCUGGCUGUUUGCUGGUUCCCGUUUGCCUUCGUUUCCUGCGUCCUGUUCUGCCCCCAGCCCGGACCUGCUCGGACUUCAUGGGAGAGGUUUGACCCCCCUACAGAGGAACCUUUUCUGC